ensembl:misc_RNA Metazoa_SRP Metazoan signal recognition particle RNA
GCCAGGCUUGGUGGCGGGUGCCUGUAGUCCCAGAUAGUCGGGAGGCUGAGGCAGGAGACUCGCUUGAGCCCAGGAGGCUGAGGUUGCAGUGAGCUGGGAUGGCCCCACUGCACUCCAGCCUGGGAGACAAAGCGAGAUUCUGUCUCAA